rnacentral:rRNA from 1 species
GCGACGGGGUAACCCUGAGCUAAUCCUAAUAAAGGUGGCCCCAGUUCGGAUUGAGGGCUGAAACUCGACCUCAUGAAGUUGGAAUCGCUAGUAAUCGCGGGUCAGCUAUACCGCGGUGAAUACGUUCUCAAGUCUUGUACUCACCGCCCGUCAAGUCAGGGGAGCCGUGAGUACCCAAAAUCCCAGCUAGUCUGGGCUUAAGGUAAGCAUGGUGACAAGGACUAAGUCGUAACAAGGCACGGCUAGCGGAAGCUGGUCGUGAAUCAAUUCAAAA